rnacentral:rRNA from 1 species
GGGCCCGCACAAGCGGUGGAGCAUGUGGCUUAAUUCGAGGCAACGCGAAGAACCUUACCUGGGCUUGAAAUAUAAUGGACAUCCUGUGAAAGCAGGUUUCUCUUCGGAGUCGUUAUACAGGUGCUGCAUGGCUGUCGUCAGCUCGUGCCGUGAGGUGUUCGGUUAAGUCCGGCAACGAGCGCAACCCGUGUCAAUAGUUGCCAUCAGGUAAUGCUGGGGACUCUAUUGAGACUGCCUGUGUUAAACAGGAGGAAGGCGCGGAUGAUGUCAAGUCAGUAUGGCCCUUACGCCCAGGGCUGCACACGUGCUACAAUGGGAGGUACAAUGAGACGCGAAAAUCGCGAGAUGGAGCAAAAUCUAUAAAAACCUCCCCUAGUUCAGAUUGCAGUCUGCAACUCGACUGCAUGAAGUCGGAAUCGCUAGUAAAGGCGUAUCAGCUACGACG